rnacentral:tRNA from 1 species
UGGGGAGUGGCCAAGCGAUAAGGCGCCUGACGCUGGAUCAGGACAUCGUAGGCUCGACUCCUCCCGCCCAAGACA